rnacentral:tRNA from 1 species
CCUCUCAUGGCGUAGUGGUUAACGCGCCCCAACUAGAGAUCGGGGAGUCGUGAGUUCGAUUCUCACUGAUAAGA